UCUCCGUAGGUGAACCUGCGGAGGGAUCAUUACUGAGUGAGGGCUUCGGUCCGACCUCCAACCCUUUGUGGACCCAUCUCGUUGCUUCGGGGGCGACCCUGCCGCUUCGGCGGUGCGGCGCCCCCGGAGGCCAUUAAACACUGCAUCAUUGCGUCGGAGUUAAAGUAAAUUAAACAAAACUUUCAACAACGGAUCUCUUGGUUCUGGCAUCGAUGAAGAACGCAGC
rnacentral:misc_RNA from 1 species